rnacentral:lncRNA from 1 species
AAUCUCUGUCUUGUACACCUGUGACAUAUAAUAUUCUACAUCAAAUAUAUUUCAAUUAAAAAUAUCUUUAAAAAUCCCAUAAAGUUUUAACAUAAACUUCUCUGAGAUUGAAGAACAUAAUGGAAUUCUUCCUUUAAUCUAAUAAUAACCACAUCAUGGUAUAAGGCUAAAAUACAUUUUUUUUUUGUCAUUUGUCUUUUCAGGGCUGCAUCUGCGGCAUAUGGGGCAGCUAGGGGUCUAAUCGGAGCUACAGAUAGGGGUCUAAUCGGAGCUACAACUGCCAGCCUACUCCACAGCCCCAGUAAUGCCAGAUCUGACCCACAUCUGCAGUCUACACCACAGCUUACGGCAACGCUGGAUCCUUAACCCACUGAGUGAGGCCAGGGAUCGAACCCACAACCUCAUGGUUCCUAGUUGGAUUAGUCUCUGCUGCAACAUGAGGGGAACUCCAAGGCUAAAAUACUUUUAAGAGAGGCAUUAUCUAGAAGUAAAUUUCCAUACAGUAUAACUGAGGGUGCAGUUAUUUGGAAAAAUAAGCCAUUUGUGUGCAUGUCUAAAUGAGUUGAGAGAUCUUAAUAACCAAAAUAGUCUGGUGGAAAUUUAUAAUGGUUAUAAUUAGCAUAAAAAUGAAGUAGUAAUCCAUUCUCUAUAGAAUUCAGAAAAGACCAAUAAGAGGCAUUAAUUUGAAUUUUGAAAAGGAAUGGAAAAUUUUGAUUUUGGCAAAAGACAGAAAAAUAAGACUGGGAGAAAAGAAAGUUGCUAAGAAAAUUUGGAGGGCUGCAAUGAGAUGAGGACUAUUUCAUGAAUGUUCUAAUAAGCCAUGUUAAGGAAAUUUGACUUUAUUUCAAAGACAUGCAGAUUGCUAUAGGAGUUAAAGCAAAGGAAUUCUAUAAUAUAUAUGUGGAGUACCUCCAAUGGCAGUGUAAAUGAUUGGUGAGGAUAAAGUCUAGAAACAGGAUCCCAGGGAAGUGGUGGCUGUGGUAUUAGGUGGUCCCAGACCACAACAUGGCAGUAGAAAAAUACAAGAAAUAUAUGAGGUUACAAGUGGGCAAUAUUAAUAGGAAUAAUGUCUCACAUACUGCCUGUGAGAAAAGUAAACAUUGAAAAAUAGUCAGUAUUCAGGAGUUUCAAAAUAUGGUAUUUGAUAAUAGCAGAUGUCAAGCAUGAAGAAAAUUAAGUUGGGAUUCAGGAAUGUAAAGGAGCUAAAACUAUAAAUUAUUGUGCAUUUACCGUGUACCAAGUGCCACACUAGGAAGCUUGCAUAGGUUAUAGUCCUGAUAUCACAUUAGCACCCUGUGUAGGUAGGCGUGAUUGGGAUUGUUAGUCACAGGUAAUAAAAUGGUAACUUGACUAUUUUAAAUGACUUACCAACUCUCAUAGAUCAUAAGUGCUUAGUAAGGCUUUGAAGUGUCUAUAUGUUUGCCAGUGUAACACAUUGUGGUUUUAAUUUAGUGAAAAUGACUCUAAAAUGAAAAAUUACUCCAUUCAGAGUAAAUGAUUACAUAUAGACAAAUUCUGAUUAGCCAAAGUAAAGUGAAUGUGUAAUAUUUUUCUGAGUACUUGAAAGUUUGAUAAUGAGGUUUCACUUUUUCCUGCUGGAUCCUUUGAAACAGAUUUCAAAUAAAGAAAGAGAGUGGGAGAGAGUAGACAAGUUCUAAAUAUUUUGUUCAAAUCAGAGCUUCCCCUUUCUGUAACUCAUGUGACCAUGAGCUCUACUUAAAUCUUUGCUCUAGCAAUUUCCUCAUCUGUAGAAUAGAAACAAUAAUCAUACAUAACUUAGAGUCUAGUGUAAUGUUUAACUUACAAAGUUUAUUGAAGUUUGAGUUUGCUCUCUACAAAUAUGAAGUACCAUUAUUCCAGGUAAACAGAUAAAUAUCUAUUUCAGUGCUUUUGGAAAUACAGUCACAUUUCCUUUCCCUGAAUUUUGGCUUACAUAAAUUGCAUACAUUCUUAAAUAAUAUUCUGCAGUAUUAGCAGAAGAAAGAGACUGAUUUCCAAGUUAAAGUGUAAAAUAACGUAUACUUUUUAGGUAAAAGCUUAAAAGGAAAAACACCCAACUCCAAUGGCAGUAAUAGCUCAUGUAUAAAAAGAUAGUAGAGUGUGUAUUUUUUCCAUUUAACUUUAUAUUUUCCUUUGUUAAGCAGGUGGAUGUUUCCUUUUUCUCUUCCAUUAUACAAACUUUAAAGUAUAAUAAAUAUAAGGGAAGUAUUUUAAUAACAUAAAAUAAUUGGCAUUCAAAAAACUUCUGCAUAGCAUUUGUAUUUGAUUACUUUCUUUUCAUGAAUUUCAUUCUUAUCAAUGGCAAUAAAAUGUGCUUUUAAAAAAUAACUCAUUUAGUCGCUUAAAUUUUAGGAUAAUUCUUGUUUUUACUUCAAGCAGAGGUCAAUGUUUUAGUAUCCAAAAACUUAGGGAUUUUUUUUUUAAGUUUAACUCAUGAAAUCUGGUCUAUUCAUCCAAAAAUUCUCAGCCCACUAAUAUGACAGCUAUCAUUAGGAGAAUUUCCAAGCACCCUUGUAACAAAAUAUAUUAGCAGAUUUAUAUGUUAACUUGCUUUGAAGAAAACUGCAGAAAAUAUUUCUUUCAGAGUUAUGCAUUUGUAGGACCUAUAAAACAUUUCAGGUGAAAACCCUUAAAAAUCUUGCUUGGAAGAGAAAGGAAACAUUCCCUUUGUGGAAGUGGUCAGGAGUAGUUAAAUUGACUGAAUAAAAUUUUAAAGGGAGUAAAUAUCAAUUAAACUUUUUAUGAAGUGGAGAAAUAUAUUGUUUAUAUGGUUGCAAAAAAUUAAUUUGGGAUAUUAUUACAAUCACUGAACCCUCUUAUUUCCACAAUGAAAGCAUCGCAUAAUCCCUAGCACUGUGAUACACUAUAGAGAACUGUGUUGGAAAUUUCUCAUCUGUUGAGAAGAAAAGUUCAAUGAAGAAUAUCUAAUUUAAAUACAUGCAGAUAUUUAAAAAUUGGGAUUCUUUGAAGAAUCUUUGUCACUUAACUAUAAUUCAUUGAGUGACUACCUCUCUAUUUUUUAAAUUAAAUUAUUCAACAAAUAGUUACUGAACAUCCUCUAUAUCCCAAGCACUGUUUUCUGAGGAUAACUAGAGAUAUUAUGGAACCAUUAUUUCAAGAAACUCACAGCCAGUGGAGGAAAAGUUUAAAUAAUAAACACAUUGAUUAUCUCAUCCUCAUUACUUUUGAAAUAGUGGUUGUUGAAACACUAUUCAGAAUUUCUCAACCACUUUGUUUCUGGCUUGUACUGUUGACCCAGUUUCAGAUUUUUUUAUGCUACCCUUGGCAAGGAAGAGCUUUCCCAUCCACUCUAUCCUGUUGGGUCUUUGAGACAUUUUCUAGACUGAUCUUAGGCAUGCUCUAGCCUCACUUUGAUAAAGCAAAAUGAACAAACAACAAAGAUGUGGGAAAACUCCUAAAGAAAACAAAGUCCUUAACAUUCCCGAUGUCCAAACAUAGGCAUUUGGCAGGGCUGGCGCUGGGAGGGGUGGAGAAAUCUUGUAAAAAGGAAAGUUUUAAGUGGAGUCAUAGUACAUGAAUACAGGUUCUCGAACUAGAAAAGGAGCUUGUGCAAGAGCAAGGAGAUCUGAGCAAAGAGUGCAUUUAGGGAGCUCAAAAUGUGACUAAAGGUUGAAGUGCUAGAGUCAGAGAUCAUAGGGAAACAAACAGAAUAAUAAUGGCUUCAUUUGUUUUAGGACUAGUUAAAUAAACUUGGGGAACUACUCAAGACAAUAUGUCUGAAAAAAAAAAAAGGUGAAACAAAUUGUAGACCUAAUUCAGUGAAACCUAGGAAUAUUGUCAAUAAUCAAAUGCAAUAUACAAAAUAAAAACAAAGCAGUUUUUAUUUUCAGUCAAAUUUUGAUUGUUAUAGAAAGUCUAAAAAUGGUAAAUUCCUAUAAAUAUAUAUUCCCUAAUAACUAAAGGAAAACAUUUUCUUAUAGAAUAAAAUUAUGAUGUCAGUUUUAUUAGAAUAUAUUCAAAUAUUGAGACUUUUGUCAAGAAGACUCCAUUUUUGACAGUUAUGUGGAAUAUAGAAUGUUGAAAAAUUUACCUUCUUACAUUUGGCUACUACCUUUUGCAGAUACUUAUAGUUUGUUAUUAUCUGUACAUCUAAGCAGAGAAAGGGAUUUCACUAUAAGUAUUAUAUUACCAUGCAUUUUGGCUAUAAAAUAAAAGUUGGGAAAGAUAAAUAGAAGAGAAAAAACACUGAACAUUAACAAAGUACAUAAGGACAAAAAAAAGGACCAAAAAGAACUUUUUAUUUAUUUAUUUUAUUCAUUUGUUUUUCCACUGUACAGCAUGGGGGCCAAGAUACACUUACAUGCAUACAUUUUUCUUCCACCCUUUGUUCUGUUACAACAUAAGUAUCUAGACAUAGUUCUCAAUGCUACUCAGCAGGAUCUCAUUGUAAAUCCAUUUCAAGUUGUGUCUGAUAACCCCAAGCUCCCAAUCCUUCCCACUCACUCCCUCUCCUCCUGGGAAGCCACAAGUCUGUUCUCCAAGACCAUGAUUUUCUUUUCUGUGGAAAUGUUCAUUUGUGCUGUAUAUUAGAUUCCAUUUAUAAGUGCUAUCACAUGGUAUUUGUUUUUCUCUUUCUGACUUAUUUCACUCAGGAUGCAAGUCUCUAGUUCCAUCCAUGUUCCUAUAAAUGGUAUUAUGUCAUUCUUUUUUAUGGCUGAGUAGUAUUCCAUUGUGUAUAUAUACCACAUCUUCCUAAUCCAAUCAUCUGUCGAUAGACAUUUAGGUUGUCUUCAUGUCUUGGCUAUUGUGAAUAGUGCUGCAAUGAGCAUGCAGGUGCAUGUGUCUUCUUCAAGGAAACUCUUAUCCGGAUAUAUGCCCAAGAGGGGGAUUGUGGGGUCAUAUGGAAGUUCUAUGUAUAGAUUUCUAAGGUAUCUCCAAACUGUUCUCCAUAGUAGCUGUACCAGUGAUGAAAGAAAAUCAGAGGCAGAUAUAUAAGAAAAUUAGGGAAGAAUAGCUUCUCCAUUUAAUUUGCAAUUAUCAAAUUCUUUACUAAAAUAUCCCCUUAAAUAAUGUUACACAGAGGCAAGUAACAGGAUGAUGUGUAGGAAAUUACUUGUGGCUUUUUAGAAUGUCCAGGGCAAAUCAACUGUGUUAAAAG